rnacentral:rRNA from 1 species
CGGCGGACGGGUGAGUAACGCGUGGAUAACCUGCCUCAUACAGGGGGAUAACAGUUAGAAAUGACUGCUAAUACCGCAUAAGCGCACAGGACCGCAUGGUCCGGUGUGAAAAACUCCGGUGGUAUGGGAUGGAUCCGCGUCUGAUUAGCUAGUUGGCGGGGGAGAGGCCCACCAAGGCGACGAUCAGUAGCCGACCUGAGAGGGUGGCCGGCCACAUUGGGACUGAGACACGGCCCAAACUCCUACGGGAGGCAGCAG